CCGGUGAACGGCCGGAUCCACUUGCUUGACACGCAAGUGGAACGCACUAAACACGCCCCCAUCGAAUCACAUGAUCGGAUAUGCCCCAGAAUUCAGAGCGCAGCAGCGCUUCCCUCGUGUUUAAAAGGCACUAGGACUGGCGCGCAUUUAGUGCAUCCGGCGCUUCACCCAACACACACAGCAGACAAGAUUUAGACCACUGAGGAAGGCCGUGAAAGGCCGAAACGUCUGGUCGUUUUUCUUCUCAUUACUGUGAAAUAUAGCACCGGAACCUUAAUCAUGUAAAAAAUGUGAAAAGAAAAAAUGUGAAAUUAAACCUUAAUAGCAACAAGAAAA